UAGAAUGAAGCUCGUUGGAUUGAGUGUUUAGCUGUUAACUAAAAUUUUGUGGGAUCAAAGCCCACCUUUCUAG
rnacentral:tRNA from 1 species